rnacentral:rRNA from 1 species
GAUGAACGCUGGCGGCGUGCCUAAUACAUGCAAGUCGAGCGAACGGACGAGAAGCUUGCUUCUCUGAUGUUAGCGGCGGACGGGUGAGUAACACGUGGAUAACCUACCUAUAAGACUGGGAUAACUUCGGGAAACCGUAGCUAAUACCGUAUAAUAUUUUGAACCGCAUGGUUCAAAAGUGAAAGACGGUCUUGCUGUCACUUAUAGAUGGAUCCGCGCUGCAUUAGCUAGUUGGUAAGGUAACGGCUUACCAAGGCAACGAUGCAUAGCCGACCUGAGAGGGUGAUAAGCCAACCUGGAAGUCAGACACGGUCCAAGCUCCUACGGGAGGCAGCAGUGGGGAACCUUCCACAAUGAGCGGAAGCCUGACUGAGUAACGCAACGUGAGUGAUGAAGGGCUCCGGAUCGUAAAGCUCAGUUAUUAGAGAAGAACAUAUGUGUAGGAAACUAUACACAUCUUAGCAGUACGUAAGCAGAAAACCACGCUUGACUACGUG